rnacentral:rRNA from 1 species
UACGGAGGAUCCAAGCGUUAUCCGGAUUUAUUGGGUUUAAAGGGUGCGUAGGCGGAAUUGUAAGUCAGUGGUGAAAUCUUGCAGCUUAACUGUAAAAUUGCCGUUGAUACUGCUAUUCUUGAGUAUAGUUGAGGUAGGCGGAAUGUGUAAUGUAGCGGUGAAAUGCUUAGAUAUUACACAGAACACCGAUUGCGUAGGCAGCUUACUAAGCUAUAACUGACGCGGAGGCACGAAAGCGUGGGGAUCGAACAGG